rnacentral:lncRNA from 1 species
GGCAAUUGUGAAAUUCGUUCUUCCAGAAACUAAAACUUAUAAAUUAAUCACUAAACCCUAAAUAGAAAAUAUGAACCCUAAUCGAAUGGCAACUCAAAUAUGCGAGAAACAAAACUCAACGGUCGACGUACAAGACCCCUGACUUUAUAUUCUACAUGCUGCAUAUGACAUAGAAAUGUUAAAAUGACGUUUGCAAUAUGAUAAGACUCUAGCAACUUUCUCAAUUUAUAUGAGUAUGCCUUCAUGGAAGUAGGUUAUGAUAUCGGCAAUUGUGAAAUUUAUUCUUCCAGAAACUAAAACUUAUACAUCCUUUAUAUACUAAAGCACAAGUCACUUGCCCACUAAAAUAAUGACAUAUGGCUAUUGUUUUUCAAAAAAAAAAUGAAUUCGAAAAAAAGCUAAAAAAAACAUCACGUAAUUUCCAAAAUUUGCAACUUCAAAUAUAACUAAACUCCUAUAUUUUCUCAAAUGAUCUCACCCCACGUUCAAAAUUAGUUUUCACCACUUCAAACAAUUUUUUUCCUACAUAACUUUUGAUCUAUGAAUCUGUUUCACGUCAUAUAUAACUUCUCAAAUCAUGAUAUGACUUCAACCUGUUUCAUCUUCUACUAUAUAAUUUUCCAUAACUG